rnacentral:rRNA from 1 species
CCGCGUGAGGGAUGACGGCCUUCGGGUUGUAAACCUCUUUCAGUAGGGAAGAAGCGAAAGUGACGGUACCUGCAGAAGAAGCGCCGGCUAACUACGUGCCAGCAGCCGCGGUAAUACGUAGGGCGCAAGCGUUAUCCGGAAUUAUUGGGCGUAAAGAGCUCGUAGGCGGUUUGUCGCGUCUGCUGUGAAAGACCGGGGCUCAACUCCGGUUCUGCAGUGGGUACGGGCAGACUAGAGUGAUGUAGGGGAGACUGGAAUUCCUGGUGUAGCGGUGAAAUGCGCAGAUAUCAGGAGGAACACCGAUGGCGAAGGCAGGUCUCUGGGCAUUAACUGACGCUGAGGAGCGAAAGCAUGGGGAGCGAACAGGAUUAGA